UUUCCGUAGGUGAACCUGCGGAAGGAUCAUUACAAGUUGAAACGGUUGCCCUCGCGGUGACCGGUUCUUCAAACCUCUGCGUACCAAACCUUUCAGUUGCCUCCGGCGGCCCUGGGCCGACGCGGCGCGCGACCUCCCCUUCGCGGGGGGGCCGCUCCUCGCGGCGGACCACCCGCCGGGCGGUCAUAAACAAAACCUUUUGUCGAGAUGGCAUCGUCUAAUUUCUUCAUAACAAAAUAUGAAAUACAACUUUUAACAAUGGAUCUCUUGGCUCCGGCAUCGAUGAAGAACGCAGC
rnacentral:misc_RNA from 1 species